rnacentral:rRNA from 13 species
UCCAAUAGCGUAUAUUAAAGUUGUUGCAGUUAAAAAGCUCGUAGUUGAACCUUGGGCCUGGCUGGCCGGUCCGCCUCACCGCGUGUACUGGUCCGGCCGGGCCUUUCCUUCUGGGGAGCCGCAUGCCCUUCACUGGGCGUGUCGGGGAACCAGGACUUUUACUUUGAAAAAAUUAGAGUGUUCAAAGCAGGCUUAUGCCGUUGAAUAUAUUAGCAUGGAAUAAUGAUAUAGGACCUUGGUACUAUUUUGUUGGUUUGCGCACUAAGGUAAUGAUUAAGAGGGACAGUUGGGGGUAUUUGUAUUCCAUUGUCAGAGGUGAAAUUCUUGGAUUUUUGGAAGACAAACUACUGCGAAAGCAUUUACCAAGGAUGUUUUCAUUAAUCAAGAACGAAAGUUAGGGGAUCGAAGAUGAUCAGAUA